rnacentral:rRNA from 1 species
GAUGAACGCUGGCGGCGUGCCUAAUACAUGCAAGUCGAGCGAACGGACGAGAAGCUUGCUUCUCUGAUGUUAGCGGCGGACGGGUGAGUAACACGUGGAUAACCUACCUAUAAGACUGGGAUAACUUCGGGAAACCGGAGCUAAUACCGGAUAAUAUUUUGAACCGCAUGGUUCAAAAGUGAAAGACGGUCUUGCUGUCACUUAUAGAUGGAUCCGCGCUGCAUUAGCUAGUUGGUAAGGUAACGGCUUACCAAGGCAACGAUGCAUAGCCGACCUGAGAGGGUGAUCGGCCACACUGGAACUGAGACACGGUCCAGACUCCUACGGGAGGCAGCAGUAGGGAAUCUUCCGCAAUGGGCGAAAGCCUGACGGAGCAACGCCGCGUGAGUGAUGAAGGUCUUCGGAUCGUAAAACUCUGUUAUUAGGGAAGAACAUAUGUGGAAGUAACUGUGCACAUCUUGACGGUACCUAAUCAGAAAGCCACGGCUAACUACGUG